rnacentral:rRNA from 1 species
CUAGGGGUGGCAGCAGUGGGGAAUAUUGCACAAUGGGGGAAACCCUGAUGCAGCGACGCCGCGUGAAGGAAGAAGUAUCUCGGUAUGUAAACUUCUAUCAGCAGGGAAGAUAGUGACGGUACCUGACUAAGAAGCCCCGGCUAACUACGUGCCAGCAGCCGCGGUAAU